AAACUUUUUGAUGAGACACUGUUUGAAAUCGAGGGAGAAAUCUAAAGAAAGUCGCAGGUUCAGGCGGCAAUUAACUCUGAAACGUGAACCAAACUCGUUGCAUCGGCCGGACUUUGACUGUCCUGAUCUCCAAAUCCUUUGCUCGAAUCACAAAACUUUAAAUACAAGAAUUGCAGCCCUAUCAUCCAUCUACAGUUCCUAGUUUAACUUUUAGACGAACUUGAAUAUAAAAACUUGAGAAAAAUCGAGUUGAACUCGUUGAUCUUGCUGAACUGAAUCGGCCUUCUUCCUGACCGGGCGGAGAGCUUUAGCACCACGCGGCCGUCGGACUCCGGCCACCGACCAGCUCCGCCUGUGGCCGUGCAAGCUCGCCUGUACCCGCUGCGCCUGGCACCUAGACGCCUUCCCAGCUCCUCCUCCCUCUCUUUUUUUCUCUGUUCUUCUUCCUUAGCUGAACAGAGUGGCCGUCGGAGCUCUCCGCCCAAGUCCUUCGGUUUCACCUCCGGCCUCCCUCCACAAAAAACAAAUCGUUGUCGCCAGGACCUUCCCCACAUCCUAGCUUCCUUCCCCACCUACCCUCACCCCACGCCCCACCACCAUCGGCGCUCGUCCCAGCCGCGAGCAGUGGGCGCCGCCCACAGCCGCCUUCCCAGCCUGAGGUGAGCGUCGCCCGUCUCCCCGGCGGCGCGUCAGGCACGGGGCUCGGAAACCCUGGCUGCCUGGCCAGGAGAAAAUGAGGAAGAAGUGAACGAAUGAGGUAGAAGCUCAGCAUUGAUGACAUUGUUGAUAUUUACUUUGCUUGCAAUGGCACUGCGUCAAGAACUGAUAUCCAGCAAACCGUGGCUUUCUGUACAGGUCGAGCGCUUGCACCCUCACCGACAAGCUAAAGCAAGUGUGCAAUCAGAUCAGGACUCAAGUGCAGCUGUUACCAAACACAUAUGACAGUGAAGUGGAGAUGAAGCUGUAACGGGGGGGUCGUCGUCCACCUAAGAACACCCUUAACACUAGUCGAGCUCUGCAUUGCCUUGGUAGCUCGUGGUGUGUCGAUC